AACGAACGCUGGCGGCAGGCUUAACACAUGCAAGUCGAACGCCCCGCAAGGGGAGUGGCAGACGGGUGAGUAACGCGUGGGAAUCUACCCAACUCUACGGAAUAACUCAGGGAAACUUGUGCUAAUACCGUAUACGCCCUUCGGGGGAAAGAUUUAUCGGAGUUGGAUGAGCCCGCGUUGGAUUAGCUAGUUGGUGGGGUAAAGGCCUACCAAGGCGACGAUCCAUAGCUGGUCUGAGAGGAUGAUCAGCCACAUUGGGACUGAGACACGGCCCAAACUCCUACGGGAGGCAGCAGUGGGGAAUAUUGGACAAUGGGCGCAAGCCUGAUCCAGCCAUGCCGCGUGAGUGAUGAAGGCCCUAGGGUUGUAAAGCUCUUUCACCGGUGAAGAUAAUGACGGUAACCGGAGAAGAAGCCCCGGCUAACUUCGUGCCAGCAGCCGCAGUAAGAC
rnacentral:rRNA from 1 species